AUGUACCGUGACUCGUACAACUCCGGGUCCUCCGCGCCGUCCGCAGCCACCCGACGCGCGCGCGCUACGUUUUGUUAGCG
rnacentral:sRNA from 1 species